rnacentral:rRNA from 1 species
AAUGAACGCUGGCGGCAUGCCUAACACAUGCAAGUCGAACGAGAGCUUCGGGUCUAGUGUCGCACGGGUGCGUAACGCGUGGGAACCUGCAUUUAGGGUCGGAAUAACUCAGAGAAAUGUGAGGUAAUACCGGAUGAUGUCUUCGGACCAAAGAUUUAUCGAACUUAGUGGGGCCAGCGUUGGAUUAGCUAGUUGGUGGGGUAAAGGACUACCAAGGUGAGGAUCCAUAGCUGGUCAGAGAGGAAGAUCAGCCACUCUGGGACGGAGAAACGGCCCAGACUCCUACGGGAGGCAGCAAAGGGGGAUAGUGGACAGUCGGCGGAAGCCUGAACCAGCAAGGCCGCGUGAGUGAUGAAGGCCGGGAGGAUGUCAAGCGCUUUUACCCGAGAUGAUAAUGACAGUAUCGGGAGAAUAAGCUCCGGCUAACUCCGUG